AUUGAACGCUGGCGGCAGGCCUAACACAUGCAAGUCGAGCGGAUGAAGGGAGCUUUCUCCUGGAUUCAGCGGCGGGCGGGUGAGUAAUGCCUAGGAAUCUGCCUGGUAGUGGGGGAUAACGUCUGGAAACGGGCGCUAAUACCGCAUACGACCUGAGGGAGAAAGUGGGGGAUCUUCGGACCUCACGCUAUCAGAUGAGCCUAGGUCGGAUUAGCUAGUUGGUGGGGUAAAGGCCUACCAAGGCGACGAUCCGUAACUGGUCUGAGAGGAUGAUCAGUCACACUGGAACUGAGACACGGUCCAGACUCCUACGGGAGGCAGCAGUGUGGAAUAUUGGACAAUGGGCGAAAGCCUGAUCCAGCCAUGCCGCGUGUGUGAAGAAGGUCUUCGGAUUGUAAAGCACUUUUAGUGGGGAGGAAGCGCAGUAAGUUAAUACCUUGCUGUUUUGACGUUACCAACAGAAUAAGCACCGGCUAACUUCGUG
rnacentral:rRNA from 1 species